GACGAACGCUGGCGGCGCGCCUAACACAUGCAAGUCGAACGAGCGAGAGGGAGCUUGCUUUCUCGAGCGAGUGGCGAACGGGUGAGUAACGCGUGAGGAACCUGCCUCAAAGAGGGGGACAACAGUUGGAAACGACUGCUAAUACCGCAUAAGCCCACGACCCGUCAUCUGGUAGAGGGAAAAGGAGCAAACCGCUUUGAGAUGGCCUCUCGUCCGAUUAGCUAGUUGGUGAGGUAACGGCCCACCAAGGCGACGAUCGGUAGCCGGACUGAGAGGUUGAACGGCAACAUUGGGACUGACACACGGCCCAGACUCCUACGGGAGGCAGCAGUGGGGAAUAUUGAACAAUGGGGGAAACCCUGAUGCAGCGACGCCGCGUGGAGGAAGAAGGUCUUCGGAUUGUAAACUCCUGUUGUUGAGGAAGAUAAUGACGGUACUCAACAAGGAAGUGACGGCUAACUACGUG
rnacentral:rRNA from 1 species